GGAUGAAUGGGAACUAGUUUUGUUAUUGUACUUUUGAUGAAAACUGACUUUCUAGACAUAAAAUGUCACUUUUUUCACCUUAUCAUACUUUUUCAUCAACUUUUGCAUUUUAAGGUAACAAUCAUAUUUCGUAAUAUUUUGUGUCAGAAACAUUUCAUAGUACUAUAUUAUGUCUAACUAUGUGAAAAAAAUCAAAUUGGAGUAGGUCGGGCAACUGAUUAUAUAAGUUUGUUAGAAAAACCACUUUCCUUUGCUCCUAGCGCCUUCUCGUUCGCUGUAUAGCGUUUUGAGCGGAUAAAGAGCACAAGUGUGCAUGGAGACACAGGAUGAAUGGGAACAAGUUUUGUUAUUGCACUUUUGAUGAAAAGUGACUUUCUAGACAUAAAAUGUCACUUUUUUCACCUUAUCAUACUUUUUCAUCAACUUUUGCAUUUUAAUGUAAACAAUCAUAUUUCGUAAUAUUUUGGGUCAGAAACAUUUCAUAGUACUAUAUUAU
ensembl:lncRNA